AAUCUGCCCUCGGGAGGGGGACAACCGCUGGAAACGGCGGCUAAUACCCCAUAAGCCCACGGGUGAAAGUUCCGGCGCCCGAGGAGGAGCUCGCGUCCGAUUAGCUAGUUGGUGGGGUAAGAGCCUACCAAGGCGACGAUCGGUAGCUGGUCUGAGAGGAUGAGCAGCCACACUGGGACUGAGACACGGCCCAGACUCCUCUCCUACGGGAGGCAGCAGUGGGGAAUCUUCCGCAAUGGGCGCCAGCCUGACGGAGCUAUACCGCGUGAGGGAAGAAGGCCCUUGGGUCGUAAACCUCUUUUCUCGGGGAAGAAAGAUGACGGUACCCGAGGAAAAAGCCUCGGCCAACUCCGUGCCAGCAGCCGCGGUAAUACGGAGGAGGCAAGCGUUAUCCGGAAUUAUUGGGCGUAAAGCGUCCGCAGGUGGCACCUCAAGUCGGCGGUGAAAGGCUGGGGCUCAACCCCAGACCAGCCGUGGAAACUGAGGAGCUAGAGUGCGGUAGGGGUAGAGGGAAUUCCCAGUGUAGGCGGUGAAAUGCGUAGAGAUUGGGAAGAACACCGGUGGCGAAAGCGCUCUACUGGACCGCAACUGACACUCAGGGACGAAAGCUAGGGGAGCG
rnacentral:rRNA from 1 species